rnacentral:rRNA from 1 species
GACGAACGCUGGCGGCGUGCUUAACACAUGCAAGUCGAACGAAGUGGCGAACGGGUGAGUAACGCGUAAUCAACCUGCCCUUCAGAGGGGGACAACAGUUGGAACCGACUGCUACUCCCGCAUACGGAAGGAGGGGAUUGCGUCUGCUUAGCUAGUUGGAGGGGUAAAGGCCCACCAAGGCGAUGAUCAGUAGCCGGUCUUGGCGGAGUAACGGCCAAAGUGGGACUGAGGAACGGCCCAGACUCCUACGGGAGGUAGCAGUGGGGAAUCUUUCGCAAUGGACGAAAGUCUGACGGAGCAACGCCGCGUGAGUGAUGACGGCCUUCGGGUUGUAAAGCUCUGUUAAUCGGGACGCGGUACCGGAAGAGAAAGCCACGGCUAACUACGUGCCAGCAGCCGCGGUAAUUC